CCUCUGGCGACCUACACACAGAGGUGGGGCCAAAUCCAAAGCUGAGCCCCUGGGAGCUGUGAGAACAAAGAAGAGAAAGGGAAAUCUCUCCCAGCAGCCUCAGAAGCAGCAGAUCACAGCUCCACAAUCAACUUGAUGCCCCCUGCAUCUGUGGAAUACAUGAAUAGACAGCAAAUCAUCCCAAAUGGAGGAGGUGGACUUUGAGAGCAAGAUUUAUGAUUUUUUCCCCUCCUCCUCUUUUUGUGAGUGUGUAUGUGUAUGCUUCUGUAUGAGAUUUUGUCUGUAUAGCUUUGCUUCCACCAUUUGUCCUAAGGUUCUAUCCGUCCGUAUUUUUUGUU